GUCCCUGUGGAUCAAUGCAGAUCGCUCCAUUCAAUUAGAGUGGGAUAUCAGUCAAAUUACUGGAGAGACGGGCGUUCGAACCGCCCCGGGGAUA